rnacentral:rRNA from 1 species
CAGCAGCCACGGGAAUACAGAGGGUGCGAGCGUUAAUCGGAUUUACUGGGCGUAAAGCGUGCGUAGGCGGCUUUUUAAGUCGGAUGUGAAAUCCCUGAGCUUAACUUAGGAAUUGCAUUCGAUACUGGGAAGCUAGAGUAUGGGAGAGGAUGGUAGAAUUCCAGGUGUAGCGGUGAAAUGCGUAGAGAUCUGGAGGAAUACCGAUGGCGAAGGCAGCCAUCUGGCCUAAUACUGACGCUGAGGUACGAAAGCAUGGGGAGCAAACAGGAUUAGAGACCCGGGUAGUCCCUGUCUCUUAUAC